rnacentral:rRNA from 1 species
GAUGUGAAAUCCCCGGGCUCAACCUGGGAAUUGCAUUGGAGACUGCAAGGCUAGAAUCUGGCAGAGGGUGGUGGAAUUUCCUGUGUAGCGGUGAAAUGCGUAGAUAUAGGAAGGAACACCAGUGGCGAAGGCGACCACCUGGACUGAUACUGACACUGAGGUGCGAAAGCGUGGGGAGCAAACAGGAUUAGAAACCCCAGUAGUCC